AAGAAUGCUGUCGAAGUUUGCCUAAAUUUUUUUCAAAAUUGCUGGAGAAAUUCUCUUUGGUUGAGUCAAGUUCAUUAGGGAUUAUUCCUGUACCCAAAUCGCAUGCACCCUGUGAUUCAAAUCCUCUCAGAUUUUCGAUUCAGCCGUUCAUCCCAACUUUAUUGUUUCUUUCACAUCUAACUGAGCUCGACUUUUCAUGUUCUAACAUUUUGUCCCAAAACAUCCCAUGUUGCACUGUUUAAACCCGUAUCACAUUUAUUAGACUUUAUUCCGAUUGAAACCAGCCAUUCCAGUCAUUCCAUUAUCCACGAAUUAAUUCCCCUGCUUUACAUCUCGUGCAUGAUCUUCCCUUCCACAUUUUUCUUAUCCUCUCAAGUCUCCCACGAAGCAAACCAAGCCAUCCGAGUCCCAACUUCCUCCCAUCCUCUCGGCUUCAUGGAUUGUAUUCCAUCUCUCAGCCGAGAUCUCCACGUCCUUCCCAGCCCAUGAUUUAUCAUUCUCAUCCCGUGAGCAUCCCAAACCUCCCAGCUCCUCUGUUUCCAGCGGAACAAAUCCUAUCCCGUGAUCCCGUGCUUCCGAUUCUUCUUUCCAAACUUCACGGAAACAGAACACACAGCCAAUGGAUUAGAUCUCCUCCCAUCCGCGUGCACAUCCAUUCCGUGAUCGUCUCCCAGCCGCGAUCAGCCUCCAUCGACCACAGAUCAUCCCAAUCUUCUGCCGGAUAAGCUCGAGACCCAUCUGCCAACCAACCCCAGCUCACGAAUCCAUUGGUUUCUUCCUCCCGUUCGGAAUUGACUUCAUCCACGGAUCAGUUCACCUCCCCUGUUCCGCUUAUCCCUUCCCUUCUGGAUGAGAACCAGGAACCAUACUUCAUCCGGAUUUGCUCCCAGCGUCUUCAACGUCCGUUUUCUUCCUCCGAGAUCUUCUCACACACCCACAGCCAAAUGAUCCCAACUAGAUUCCGCUAGCUCCCAGCCUUCCUAUCAUCAUCCAAGCCUCAUCCUCUUCUCCGAAUAACAUCCAAUAUACGUCCCAGAUUCCGUUCAGAAUCCUAACUCCCACGUCUCUGCAUUCAUUCUUAUUCUUCCCAGCCGAAUCAAUUCAGUUCAUCCGACGUUCUCCACUGAACAAACUUCCGGCUCAUCUUAUCUUCAUCCACGGAUAAACUUUCCUUCCCAGCCGUAUCCAAUCUCUCAUCACCCGCGAUGGAUUCUUCCCGAGCCGAUCCACAGCUUCAAGCCAACAAAUGCAUCCUCCCCUGUUUCAAAUAGAGUAUCGUCCUUAUUCAGCAACCACAUAAGAUUUCCAACGUCCACGCGCCAGCCUUCCUCCCGUCCGCGUGGAGCCAUCUCUCCUCA